AUGGGGCUGCAUCGGUGUCGCAGGUGCGGACACCGGCAUGUGGCUACAGCAAGACGCACACAUUUGAUCGUCCAGAAAUCCAUUCUAUUCGACAACUUGAAGUGCGUGGAGGCAAGGGAACAAGGAUCAGAGGUCGUGAAUACAAUAUGGGUUGAAUUUUCGCUUUCCAUGAAUAAGCUUGAAGAUCCCAACCGAAUAUUAUACAUGCCACCAAGAGGGCUACGGCCUAUACCUGGAUUCAGUGGGCUGAAUAUCUGCUGUGCAGGCUAUGGAGAACGAAGCACGAAAUAUAUCAUGAAAUUAAUUGAAGUAGCUGGAGCGAAGCCUGGUGACUACAUUGAGAUGUAUGAUGCUGAUCUUCUCAUCUGUAAUGCCUUUCAAGGUCGUGAUUAUGAUCUCUCUCAGAAGAUGGGAAUUGAUGCUGUGAAUUUUAAUUGGCUAAGAGACUGCGUACUCCUUUGGACAUUUCUCCCAUUUGACAAUUACACCAAGCAGGGGCAGCAUACCCCAAUGAAAGAACCCACAGCCAGCUCCCAUCUCCGUAUGCUGCACACCGAUACCAAAGAUGCAAUGGCUAGACCCCACAUGUCUCCUGCUAUACUAGAAAGGGGUGCACUUUCCACAGGAAGUAAACGCAACAGAAGUUCUGUCAAUAACGAUGACCAUGAAUUUGUCUGCCAGAAGACCCACAGAACUGAUCAUCCGAAAUGCAAAAGAUCUCUUAAUCUUGAUGCCAGCAGAAACUGUGAUUUCGAGGUGAAGACUGUCGACUCCAAUAAACCCACCGCUGAGGACAAGUUGAGCAAAUGUCUUGAUUCAUUGGAAUUGACAACAUCUACUGUGACCGGCACCGCCACAAAAGCUACUGAGGUGAGGACUGUCAGCUCCAGUGAAGCCACUGCUGAGGAUAGAUCCAGCACAUGUCUUUAUCCAUUGACACUAACAACAUCUGGCAUGACUGCCACAACUAGAAAAGCGAUUGUCAGCUCCAGAAAAGGCAGUGCCGAGGAUGGUCCCAGUUCACUGGAAUUAACAGCAUCUGGUGUUCAAGUUGUGACUCUGAAAAAUUAUGCAAACAAGAGAUUGACAAAGUUAAGAGAAAUUCCAGGUUAUGAAAAUCAGAGACUGAUUCGAAAAGCUUAUAAAAUCGUAAGAACUACCAAGGAGGAUAUUAAGGUGGUAUUUAGAGAAUCAUUUAGAGGGCUUGCCAGUUUUCACAAGAAAAAUAGCACUCUGUCUGGGCAGUUUGGCCCCGAGAAUUUUGCUGUCUCUCCCGCUGACAAUUCCGUGGAAAUGAUAAACAUCCUUCCUCUAGUGACAUACUCAAAAGUUCUGGGAAACAAGGAUUAUGAUACCUUUGUCAAGACGGUUGAAGGUCUGUAUCAAGGACGAGGAGAGCAACUUCCACCAGAUGUUUCUAAGUGGCUGGCUCUUAUUUCAAAGGGUGUCAACUUCUGCAGUCCAGUCCUGAUUGCUAACUACAUACUGAUGAUGCCCGCCGAAGCUGCUUAUGGAAUGUUUACAUCAAUUCUCCAUAGUAUGAUUGAAUUUGAGAAGAAGAAGAGCCACCAGUUUCAGAGAAUGCUAAAGUCCGAGCCAAUGCGCAAAUACAAUGGCUGGCAUACAUGGGUUCUUGAUCCUCUUCUCGAUGAGACUUAUCAUUGGACAGACCCUGUGACUGGCAAAGGAUCAACCUACGAGAACAACAUUAUGGGUCUCUUGAAGCUUCUAAGGAAUUGCUUUGAGCACAAAGCUAAAGAGUACCACAAGGAGUUCCUCGCUAUGAUUCUAUCUUGGAGGGUUGAUCUCUUGCCUGACGUCCAACAGGUUCUACUUGAUGCUGGAUAUCUUAAAUUCAUGCGUCUCUGA
rnacentral:rRNA from 1 species